UACGAAGGUCCCAAGCGUUGUUCGGAAUCACUGGGCGUAAAGGGUGCGUAGGCGGUGUGGUAAGUCAGAUGUGAAAUCUCAGAGCUCAACUCUGAAACUGCAUCCGAUACUGCCAUACUAGAGAACUGGAGGGGUGAGUGGAAUUCUCGGUGUAGCAGUGAAAUGCGUAGAUAUCGAGAGGAACACCAGUGGCGUAAGCGACUCACUGGACAGUAUCUGACGCUGAGGCACGAAGGCUAGGGGAGCGAAAGGG
rnacentral:rRNA from 1 species